rnacentral:tRNA from 1 species
GUCCUUAUGGUCUAGGGGUUAGGACAUCGCCCUUUCACGGCGAUAGCACGGGUUCAAAUCCCGUUAAGGAUA